GAGGGUAUAGCUCAGUGGUAGAGGAUAUGCUUAGCAUGCACAAGGUCCUGGGUUCAAUUUCCAGUACCUUCA
rnacentral:tRNA from 1 species